ACUGUUUAUUAAAAUAUAAUUUUUUAUAGCACCAUAAGGCUAAGGAGAACCUUUUGACCCUCUUUGAUUGAAUAUGGCCUAAGCUUCUCCCUCUCUUGUUUUAUUGUCGCACAAGCACUUCUCUUUUCUUCAUUACGUACCUUUCUUCUAACUUUUCACAUGGUUUUGCUUUUCAUGGUUGUUCUCUUGUUUCUUUAGGUAAACUUUAGCAUUUGUUAUUUGCUUGUUGGUUGGUUCUUCUGUUUUAAUUUGCUUUUCAUGGUUCUUCUACUUCUCUCUCCCUCCUACUCUCUUUUCUCUUCUUUUUCUCCUUUUUUUUUUUCCUCGACUUUUUCCCUUUUCUUCCUCUGCUUUUCUUUUCUAGAGGCUUCUGGUAAGCGUCUCUUAUUUUCUUUUCUUUUUCUCUUCCUUUUCGAAUUCGGGAACCGGCCACAACCCGAUGAACCCCAACCGGCACCUGCCAAUCCAUGAAGGAAGGAAGGUGCAGAAGAUUUGUGGAACAAAAAUGACGGGCCGAUUGUUGAACCGCCUCCGUCGGUUCGACUGUACGGAUGGACGGACGAGAUAGAUUGCGGUGCCGCCGCUGGACUUGAGGAAAAUGAUAUCAAAAGGUCGUGAUUUGGCAGCUGGAUUCGAACUCAAACCUCGGGGUACAAGCUGAGCUGUGCACGAAACACACCCACGUGUGUCAAACCCUAACAAAUGCAGCCGUUGGCCUCUCUCUGUGGAAGCUGCUUCACUCAAGCCUCUCUCGCUUUUGGUCAUUUCCACCUGCAAUCCAAAACCAAAACAACCCACACCUCCAUGUCUGCAAGUCUCGCCCUCUCGCUUCGAAUUUCAAAGAGCCACGCCUCCAUUUCAUCUAAGCCCAAAUCCCUCGGAAUCAAACAUGGAAAGUUAAUGCAGGAUAGAAGCCUUCGAGUGACGCAUAACUUGACUAUCUUCGGCGGCUGCGGCCUUGUCCUUUCCACCAUCAUCGGCCUAUUUGGAGUCAAUGUCGAUGGAAUCCCCGGGACAAAGAACGCACCCUAUGCUUUCGGUUUGUUUUCAGCCCUCCUCGUCGUUCCAUGAGUCGUCCUGACUGCACUCGGGUUGCUCUACUUUGGGGUGAAAAAGCCUGUCACAGAACAGCAAGUUCGAGACAGAAAGUUGGAGCUUCAAAAGUUAGUUAAGGAGUUUCAGCUCGAGAGAAACACUGCCGGGGUUCGUAACAAAGUGUCUCGGAGUAAUUUACCCCCGACGGCUGGUGAUGUAGUCGACCCGCAAGACUUCGUUAACCUUCGUAUACGAUCCUACCGGUUUUUCAAUUGUUGUGCUACGGGUCGGCCCUAAGGGCCUCCUAAUAUCGUGUAAAUUAAAGAACAUGUAAGUUGAUAAUUGAUUUAUUACUUAAGAAUUAAUAAACAUGCUUAUUCUUAUUGAUGACAUAUUAUUUAUUUA